rnacentral:rRNA from 2 species
GUGACCUCAAAUCAGGUAGGACUACCCGCUGAACUUAAGCAUAUCAAUAAGCGGAGGAAAAGAAACUAACAAGGAUUCCCCUAGUAACUGCGAGUGAAGCGGGAAAAGCUCAAAUUUAAAAUCUGACAGUCUUUGGCUGUCCGAGUUGUAAUCUAGAGAAGCAUUAUCCGCGCUGGACCGUGUACAAGUCUCCUGGAAUGGAGCGUCAUAGAGGGUGAGAAUCCCGUCUUUGGCACGGACUGCCAGGGCUUUGUGAUGUGCUCUCAAAGAGUCGAGUUGUUUGGGAAUGCAGCUCAAAAUGGGUGGUAAAUUCCAUCUAAAGCUAAAUAUUGGCGAGAGACCGAUAGCGAACAAGUACCGUGAGGGAAAGAUGAAAAGAACUUUGGAAAGAGAGUUAAACAGUACGUGAAAUUGCUGAAAGGGAAACGCUUGAAGUCAGUCGUGUCAGUCAGGGAUCAGCCUUGCUUUUGCUUGGUGUACUUCCUGGCUGAUGGGUCAGCAUCAAUUUUGACUAUUGGAAAAAGAUCAGGGGAAUGUGGCAUCUU